GCUCCCAUCGUCUAUCGGUUAGGACACGACCCUUUCAAGGUUGAGAGCGGGGUUCGAUUCCCCGUGGGAGCG
rnacentral:tRNA from 2 species